GCAUGUGAGGGUAAUCUGGCUACAGCUGUCACUCCAGUGAGCGCUAGAGUUGAUUCGGCUGAUCUGACUGGCUAGGGGGCGUGACCUUCCUCCCUCCCUCACCGCUCUUCCAUUCAAGGGUAUAUGAGUAGUUUGCUCCCCUUGUAGCACAUAGAAGGGAGAGUCAGUCUUACCCACAACGUUAGGACUCAGAUAAAACUUUAAAGAUGAUGAGGUUUUAUUAGCU
rnacentral:snRNA from 1 species